GCCAGCAGCCAUAUCACCCUGCAACUCACAACUGGCAGCCCACUGAAGCUCAGCAGGUGUGAGCCUGGUCAGUACCUGGAGGGGAGACCUCCUGGGAAAAACUAAGGUUGUUGCUGGAA
rnacentral:rRNA from 1 species